rnacentral:rRNA from 1 species
UGCCAGCCGCCGCGGUAAUACGGAGGGUGCAAGCGUUAAUCGGAAUUACUGGGCGUAAAGCGCGCGUAGGCGGCUAUUUAAGUCGGAUGUGAAAUCCCCGGGCUCAACCUGGGAAAUUGCCAUUGAUACUGAUGUUCUUGAGUUUGGUUGAAGUAAGCGGAAUGAGGCAUGUAGCGGUGAAAUGCAUAGAUAUGCCUCAGAACACCGAUCGCGAAGGCAGCUUACUAAGCCAAUACUGACGCUGAGGCACGAAAGCGUGGGGAGCAAACAGGAUUAGAUA